rnacentral:rRNA from 1 species
GCGUCUUAAGCAUGCAAGUCAAACGGGAUGUAGCAAUACAUCUAGUGGCGAACGGGUGAGUAACGCGUGGAUGAUCUACCUACGAGAUGGGGAUAACUAUUAGAAAUAGUAGCUAAUACCGAAUAAAGUCAAUUAAUUUGUUAAUGGAUGAAAGGAAGCCUUUAAAGCUUCGCUUGUAGAUGAGUCUGCGUCUUAUUAGCUAGUUGGUAGGGUAAAUGCCUACCAAGGCGAUGAUAAGUAACCGGCCUGAGAGGGUGAACGGUCACACUGGAACUGAGAUACGGUCCAGACUCCUACGGGAGGCAGCAGCUAAGAAUCUUCCGCAAUGGGCGAAAGCCUGACGGAGCGACACUGCGUGAAUGAAGAAGGUCGAAAGAUUGUAAAAUUCUUUUAUAAAUGAGGAAUAAGCUUUGUAGGAAAUGACAAAGUGAUGACGUUAAUUUAUGAAUAAGCCCCGGCUAAUUACGUGCCAGCAGCCGCGGUAAUACGUAAGGGGCGAGCGUUGUUCGGGAUUAUUGGGCGUAAAGGGUGAGUAGGCGGAUAUAUAAGUCUAUGCAUAAAAUACCACAGCUCAACUGUGGAACUAUGUUGGAAACUAUAUGUCUAGAGUCUGAUAGAGGAAGUUAGAAUUUCUGGUGUAAGGGUGGAAUCUGUUGAUAUCAGAAAGAAUACCGGAGGCGAAGGCGAACUUCUGGGUCAAGACUGACGCUGAGUCACGAAAGCGUAGGGAGCAAACAGGAUUAGAUACCCUGGUAGUCUACGCUGUAAACGAUGCACACUUGGUGUUAACUAAAAGUUAGUACCGAAGCUAACGUG